UACAGAGGUGGCAAGCGUUGUUCGGAAUUACUGGGCGUAAAGGGCGCGUAGGCGGCUCGCUAAGUCGGGUGUGAAAACUCUGGGCUCAACCCAGAGCCUGCAUUCGAAACUGACGAGCUAGAGUUCUGGAGGGGAAAGCGGAAUUCCUGGUGUAGCGGUGAAAUGCGUAGAUAUCAGGAGGAACACCGGUGGCGAAGGCGGUUUUCUGGACAGAAACUGACGCUGAUGCGCGAAAGCUAGGGGAGCAAACAGG
rnacentral:rRNA from 1 species